rnacentral:rRNA from 1 species
AGAGUUUGAUCAUGGCUCAGGAUGAACGCUAGCGGGAGGCCUAACACAUGCAAGCCGAGCGGUAUUUAUUCUUCGGAAUAGAGAGAGCGGCGUACGGGUGCGGAACACGUGUGCAACCUGCCUUUAUCAGGGGGAUAGCCUUUCGAAAGGAAGAUUAAUACCCCAUAAUAUAUUGAAUGGCAUCAUUUGAUAUUGAAAACUCCGGUGGAUAGAGAUGGGCACGCGCAAGAUUAGAUAGUUGGUAGGGUAACGGCCUACCAAGUCAGUGAUCUUUAGGGGGCCUGAGAGGGUGAUCCCCCACACUGGUACUGAGACACGGACCAGACUCCUACGGGAGGCAGCAGUGAGGAAUAUUGGACAAUGGGUGAGAGCCUGAUCCAGCCAUCCCGCGUGAAGGACGACGGCCCUAUGGGUUGUAAACUUCUUUUGUAUAGGGAUAAACCUUUCCACGUGUGGAAAGCUGAAGGUACUAUACGAAUAAGCACCGGCUAACUCCGUGCCAGCAGCCGCGGUAAUACGGAGGGUGCAAGCGUUAUCCGGAUUUAUUGGGUUUAAAGGGUCCGUAGGCGGAUCUGUAAGUCAGUGGUGAAAUCUCAUAGCUUAACUAUGAAACUGCCAUUGAUACUGCAGGUCUUGAGUAAAGUAGAAGUGGCUGGAAUAAGUAGUGUAGCGGUGAAAUGCAUAGAUAUUACUUAGAACACCAAUUGCGAAGGCAGGUCACUAUGUUUUAACUGACGCUGAUGGACGAAAGCGUGGGGAGCGAACAGGAUUAGAUACCCUGGUAGUCCACGCCGUAAACGAUGCUAACUCGUUUUUGGGUCUUCGGAUUC